rnacentral:rRNA from 1 species
AACGAACGCUGGCGGCAUGCCUAACACAUGCAAGUCGAACGGCAGCACGGGGGCAACCCUGGUGGCGAGUGGCGAACGGGUGAGUAACAUAUCGGAACAUACCCUAGAGUGGGGGAUAACGUAGCGAAAGUUACGCUAAUACCGCAUACGAUCUAAGGAUGAAAGGUGGGGGAUCUUCGGACCUCAUGCUCAUGGAGUGGCCGAUAUCUGAUUAGCUAGUUGGUGAGGUAAAGGCUCACCAAGGCGACGAUCAGUAGCUGGUCUGAGAGGAUGAUCAGCCACACUGGGACUGAGACACGGCCCAGACUCCUACGGGAGGCAGCAGUGGGGAAUAUUGGACAAUGGGCGAAAGCCUGAUCCAGCAAUGCCGCGUGAGUGAUGAAGGCC